rnacentral:rRNA from 1 species
GGUCAAGAUAGAAAGGGCUAAGGGCGAAUGCCUUGGCACUGGGAGCCGAAGAAGGACGUGGCAAACUACGAAAUGCUGCGGGGAGGCGUAAGCAGCCGAUAAUCCGCAGAUAUCCGAAUGAGGAAACUCACAUAAGGUAAACCUUAUGUAUCAUACAGUGAAUAAAUAGCUGUAUGAGGGGAACGAGGGGAACUGAAACAUCUAAGUACCCUUAGGAAGAGAAAAUAAAAAAUGAUUCCGUAAGUAGCGGCGAGCGAAAGCGGAAGAGCCCAAACCAAGUAGAAAUACUUGGGGUUGAGGACAUAUCAAAGAGACAGAAAACUGUAGCCGAAGAGAGCUGGAAAGCUCCUCCAAAGAAUGUGAUAGACACGUAAGCAAAACAGUUUGAAGCGAGGAUAUGAUCCAGAGUACCACGGGACACGAGGAAUCUUGUGGGAAGCAGGGAGGACCACCUCCCAAGGCUAAAUACUACCCAGUGACCGAUAGAGAAUAGUACCGUGAGGGAAAGGUGAAAAGAACCCCGGGAGGGGAGUGAAAAAGAACCUGAAACCCUGAGCCUAAAAACAGUGGAAGCACAAAAGUGUGACCGCGUACUUUUUGUAGAACGGGCCAACGAGUUACAAUAUGCAGCAAGGUUAAUAACCAAAGGUUAGGAGCCGAAGAGAAAUCGAGUCUGAAAAGGGCGAAAGUUGCAUGUUGUAGACCCGAAACCGGGUGACCUAUCCAUGUGCAGGUUGAAGCUAGAGUAAAAUCUGGUGGAGGACCGAACCCAUUAGCGUUUAAAAGCUACGGGAUGACGUGUGGAUAGCGGUGAAAUUCCAAUCGAACCCGGAGAUAGCUGGUUCUCCUCGAAAUAGCUUUAGGGCUAGCCUCAAGUAAGUAUAGUGGGGGUAGAGCACUGAAUGGUCUAGGGGCGUUAUACGUUACCAAAACCUAUCAAACUCCGAAUACCAUAUAUAUGUUGCUAGGGAGUCAGACUAUGUGAGAUAAGUUUCAUAGUCAAAAGGGAAACAGCCCAGAUCACCAACUAAGGUCCCAAAAUAUAGAUUAAGUGGAAAAGGAUGUAAAACUACACAGACAACCAGGAUGUUGGCUUAGAAGCAGCCAUUCAUUAAAAGAGUGCGUAAUAGCUCACUGGUCGAGUGGUUUUGCGCCGAAGAUGUCCGGGGCUAAAAUCUAUUACCGAAGUUGUGGGAUACCAAUAGGUAUCGGUAGAGGAGCAUUGUGUACGGAUAGAAGCACUACCGAAAGGAGUCGUGGACUGUACAGAAGAGAGAAUGUUGGCAUGAGUAGCGAAAGGUGAGUGAGAAUCUCACCCAUCGAAAGCCUAAGGAUUCCUGAGGAAGGCUCGUCCACUCAGGGUAAGUCGGGACCUAAGCCGAGGCCAAAAGGCGUAGGCGAUGGACAACUGGUUGAAAUUCCAGUACCACCUUUAAGCGUUUGAGAAAUGGGGUGACACAGGAGGGUAAGCUGGCGCACAGCUGGAAAAGUGCGUCUAAGUAAGUAGGGAGACGAUACAGGCAAAUCCGUAACGUCAAUCCUGAGAUACGAAUGGGAGCGAAAAUAAGUAGUGAAGCAGCUGAGCCCACACUGUCAAGAAAAGCCUCUAUCGAGCAAGAAGGUGCCCGUACCGUAAACCGACACAGGUAGGCAAGGAGAGAAUCCAAAGAUGAGCGGAAGAACUAUUGUUAAGGAACUAGGCAAAAUGACCCCGUAACUUCGGGAGAAGGGGUGCCCUUCAGAGUGAAGACAGAACUGUUGGAGCUUAGAAGGGCCACAGAAAACAGGCCCAAGCGACUGUUUACCAAAAACACAGGUAUCUGCUAAAUCGAAAGAUGAAGUAUAGGUGCUGACACCUGCCCGGUGCUGGAAGGUUAAGGGGAGAAGUCAUCGAAAGAGAAGCUUUGAACUUAAGCCCCAGUAAACGGCGGCCGUAACUAUAACGGUCCUAAGGUAGCGAAAUUCCUUGUCGGGUAAGUUCCGACCCGCACGAAAGGUGUAACGAUUUGGGCACUGUCUCAACAAUAGAUCCGGUGAAAUUGUAGUACUCGUGAAGAUGCGAGUUACCCGCGGCAGGACGGAAAGACCCCAUGGAGCUUUACUGCAGGCUGACAUUGGAAUUCGGUAGCAAUUGUACAGAAUAGGUGGGAGGCAGAGAAAUCGGUACGCCAGUAUCGGUGGAGCCAACGUUGGGAUACCACUCUAUUGUUACUGAAUUUCUAACAUGAUACCGUGAACCGGUAUAUGGACACUGUCAGUUGGGCAGUUUGACUGGGGCGGUCGCCUCCGAAAGAGUAACGGAGGCGCUCAAAGGUUCCCUCAGCACGGUCGGAAAUCGUGCGAAGAGUGUAAAGGCAGAAGGGAGCUUGACUGCGAGAGAGACAUCUCGAGCAGGAACGAAAGUUGGACUUAGUGAUCCGGUGGCACCGAGUGGAAAGGCCAUCGCUUAACGGAUAAAAGCUACCCUGGGGAUAACAGGCUUAUCUCCCCCAAGAGUCCACAUCGACGGGGAGGUUUGGCACCUCGAUGUCGGCUCGUCUCAUCCUGGGGCUGAAGCAGGUCCCAAGGGUUGGGCUGUUCGCCCAUUAAAGAGGCACGCGAGCUGGGUUCAGAACGUCGUGAGACAGUUCGGUCCCUAUCCGCCGUGGGCGCAGGAAAUUUGAAGGGAGCUGUUCCUAGUACGAGAGGACCGGAAUGGACAGACCGCCGGUGCAUCAGUUGUCACGCCAGUGGCAUAGCUGAGUAGCUGAGUCUGGAUUAGAUAAGCGCUGAAAGCAUCUAAGCGCGAAACUAGCCCUAAGAUAAGAUUUCCCAUCACGCAAGUGAGUAAGACCCCCGAUAUGUUAACGGGUUGAUAGGUUGCAUGUGUAAGUGCAGCAAUGCAUUCAGCUGAGCAAUACUAAUAGGUCGAGGUCUUGACCUC